UUUAAUAGGCAAACCUAAGGAAACUUAGGGACGCAAAGCUAUAGGGACUAAGGUAUAUACUAUGUCAGCCAGUUGCCAA
rnacentral:ncRNA from 1 species